CCAGACUCCUACGGGAGGCAGCAGUGGGGAAUAUUGCACAAUGGGCGCAAGCCUGAUGCAGCGACGCCGCGUGGGGGAUGACGGCCUUCGGGUUGUAAACUCCUUUCGCUAGGGACGAAGCUUUUUGUGACGGUACCUAGAUAAGAAGCACCGGCUAACUACGUGCCAGCAGCCGCGGUAAUACGUAGGGUGCGAGCGUUGUCCGGAAUUACUGGGCGUAAAGGGCUCGUAGGUGGUUUGUCGCGCCGUCUGUGAAAUUCCGGGGCUUAACUCCGGGCGUGCAGGCGAUACGGGCAUAACUUGAGUACUGUAGGGGUAACUGGAAUUCCUGGUGUAGCGGUGAUAUGCGCAGAUAUCAGGAGGAACACCGAUGGCGAAGGCAGGUUACUGGGCAGUUACUGA
rnacentral:rRNA from 1 species